UUGGAGUUGUGCUUGCUCUAAGAUCUCUGCUGGAACUCGGACACAUUUCUUCAGUUGAGACACAUGAAAAACAUCAUGUAUUGCCGAUAGCUGCUCUGGGAGUUGGAUCCGGUAAGCAACGGGUCCACAUACCUCCACAAUCUCAUAAGGGCCAACAUAGCGAGGCGCUAACUUGCCUUUUAUUCCAAACUGUUGCACUCCUUUGGUCGGGGAGACUCGAAGAUACACAUGAUCACCAAGGUCGAAC
rnacentral:lncRNA from 1 species